rnacentral:sRNA from 1 species
AAAGGCAUGGACUACGAGUUGAUAAACUGAAAAGAUACCGAGAAUAAAGAGAAUAAAGGCUUUCUCUACAUUCGUUCUGACGAAAUUAGCAGGGUUUUCCUGGAAUUAGUGCAAAGACUGUAGACAUCACGCCCUUGUCAGCUGUGAGCGCCCUGAUCAAAUGUCUAGCCGUUGGAUAGCAUCUCUUACCCCACCUGGAAACAUGCUCAAAGGUUUUCAACUCAAUGAUUCUAUCUGUCAAUAGCUUGGUGGCUAUCUGACUUGAGACAAAAAUACAUCUACUUCACACAAUCGUCAUCCCAACAGCAACAUAUGCAUGCGAGACAUGGAAGUCGUCUGCCGAACUGGGAGUAACCACUUAUGGAUGUUGUGACAGAGCGUCUCACAAGGUUUGCGGGAACUGUUCUGCGACAGAAUGAAUUACGCGAUGACAUGGAAGCCAAUGCGAGGAAAG